GGUGGGGCGUGGGGGAGAAGAAGAAGAGAAGUAGAGGGAGAAGAGAAGAAGAGGGAAAAGAAGAGGAGGAAGAAGAGGGAGAAGAGAAGAAAAGAAGAAGAAGAAGAAGAAGAAGAAGAGAGGGAAGAUGGAGAGGAGAGAGAGAGAGGCAGCAGCUGCAGCUAGGGCUGCUGCACCUCUGUUUCCAGCAGGUGGAAACAGAGGAGAGGAUGUGUGGGGCGUUGGGGAGGAGAAGUGAAGAGGAAGAAGAAGAAGAAGAAGAAGAAGAAGAGAGGAGGAUAGCUGUGGCAAGGCUGCAGCGAGGAGGGGUGUGGCGUUGGGGAGGAAAAGGGAAGAGGAGAAGGAGAAGAAGAGGGAAAAGAGAGGGAAGAGGGAGAGGAGCGAGAGGUGGCAGCAGCUAGGGCUGCAGCACCUCUGUUUCCUGCAGGUGGAAACAGAGGAGAGGUGUGGGGCGUUCGAAGAGGAGAAGAAGAAGAAGAGGAAGAGAAGAGGAAGAGGAAGCAGGAGAAGAGGUUGUGAUACCUCUGUUUCCUGCAGAGGAAACAGAGGUGAGGGUGUGUGUGACGCCGGGGAGGAGGAGGGAAGAAGAAGAGGAGAAGAAGAAGAGAAGGGAAAGGAGGAGCUGCGGCUGCGGCGGUGGAAGCUGCAGCUGGAAGAGAAGGAGAGGAAGAGAUGGUGAGGAAGAAGAGAAGAAGUAGAAGCGGGUGAAGAGGCGGCACCUCUGUUUCCUGCAGGAGGAAACAGAGGAAAGGAGGUGCUGUUCGUCGUGGAGAAGAAGGGGAGGAAGGAGAAGAAGAGAAGAAGAAGAAAGGAAGGAGAAGGAAGAGGAGAAGGGAAAGAAGUAGCUGUGGCUGCGGCUGUGGCAGCUGCAGCUAUGGCAGGGAAAGAGGAAGAGAAAGGAAGAAGGGAAGGAGAGGAAGAAGAAAAGGGAAAGAAGGGGCUGCGGCUGCGGCGAUGGCAGCUGCAGAUGGAAGAGAAGAAGGAGAGGAAGAUGAGCAGGGGAGGAAGAAGAGGCUGUGGCCGUGGCUGACGCUGCGACUGCAGCAGUGCAGCUGGGAAAGAAGAGAAGGAAAGGAAGAAGAAGAGAAAGGAAAAGGGAAGAAGAGAGGAAGAGGAGAAGGGGAGGCAGCUGUGGCAGUGGCAGCUGCAGCUGGAAGAGAAGGAGAGGAAAUAGAGCAGGGGAGGAAGAAGAGGCAGCGGCUGUGGUGGCUGCGGCCAUGGCUGCGACUGCGACUGCGGCAGUUGCAGCUGGGAAAGGGAAAAGAAAGGGAGAAUAAGGGGCUGCGGAUGGGAUUGCGGUUGUAGCGGCAGCGACAGCAUAUGCAGCAGUUAUGUCUGCGAGAGAAGGGAGGAAGGAAGGUAGUGCGGUGGAAGGGGCUGCGAUUGUGGCAGCGGCGGCGGCUGUGGCUGCUGCAUUUGGGAAAGAAAAAGAAGGAAUGAGAGUAAGAGAGAGCAGGUGACUGUGCCUCGAUGUUCGACACGUGGUGUAGUUGCGAAGAAAGAAAGAAAACGAGUGCACAAAACGAAAUAGGGAGGGGAUGGAAGAAAAGUAGAAAAAGAAUUUGAGCGUACACCUUCUUCGAAUCUUUGGAUCAAAACCUUUAAAAGGUCAGCUUGUCACUCUUUGAGAUGUUUGAUUUGGGCUGAGGCAGUGGAUAGCUAUUCAGAAUUACGGGCAAGUCUUGUUGGUUAUUAUGUUAUUGUUGUAUAAGCAUAUUUUGUAUGUAACGAAAUGUUGUUGAUGAAUCGAAAUGGAUAUACUGUGUAAAAGUGUUAGAAGAUCUCUCUUAUUGGGAAUUUCGGAAUGUUAAGUCUAGUUUAUGAUGAUAUGAACUUGUGGUAAAUGGUUGGAGUUCUGAUUGUAUAAAUUACUUAGCUUGUGGAUUUAUAAAUGUUGUUCAUGUUUGUU